UUGUUCGUCAAAGUGGUUGUGAUGUGUUGCCGUUCGUUCCAUAUCACAGCCAGCUUUGAUGAGCAGUU
rnacentral:pre_miRNA from 1 species